CACGGACAUCAGCGAUUCGUUCUGCGAACCGUUACCAACAGCCAGGUAGGAGUGCAUACCCAGCUCGCGCAUCUGCUGUUCGCCGAUGACACGGGUGAUGACAUUUUUGCUCCAGGCAUCCGCCAGCUGGCGCGCCUGAGACGCGAGAUAGGCCGCGUUACAGAUGUUUGGCGGCAUAUUGCCGAGGUCUUUCGC
rnacentral:antisense_RNA from 1 species